rnacentral:rRNA from 1 species
AUGAACGCUGGCGGCGUGCCUAAUACAUGCAAGUUGCGCGAACGGACGAGAAGCUUGCUUCUCUGAUGUUAGCGGCGGACGGGUGAGUAACACGUGGAUAACCUACCUAUAAGACUGGGAUAACUUCGGGAAACCGGAGCUAAUACCGGAUAAUAUUUUGAACCGCAUGGUUCAAAAGUGAAAGACGGUCUUGCUGUCACUUAUAUAUGGAUCCGCGCUGCAUUAGCUAGUUGGUAAGUUAACGGCUUACCAGGGCAACGAUGCAUAGCCGACCUGAGAGGGUGAUCGGCCACACUGGAACUGAGACACGGUCCAGAAUCAUACGGGAGGCAGCAGUAGGGAAUCUUCCGCAAUGGGCGAAAGCCUGACGGAGCAACGCAGCGUGAGUGAUGAAGGUCUUCGGAUCGUAAAACUCUGUUAUUAGGGAAGAACAUAUGUGUAAGUAACUGUGCACAUCUUGACGGUACCUAAUCAGAAAGCCACAGCUAACUACGUG